rnacentral:rRNA from 1 species
AUGAACGCUGGCGGCGUGCCUAAUACAUGCCAGUCGAGCGAACGGACGAGAAGCUUGCUUCUCUGAUGUUAGCGGCGGACGGGUGAGUAACACGUGGAUAACCUACCUAUAAGACUGGGAUAACUUCGGGAAACCGUAGCUAAUACCGGAUAAUAUUUUGAACCGCAUGGUUCAAAAGUGAAAGACGGUCUUGCUGUCACUUAUAGAUGGAUCCGCGCUGCAUUAGCUAGUUGGUAAGGUAACGGCUUACCAAGGCAACGAUGCAUAGCCGACCUGAGAGGGUGAUCGGCCACACUGGAACUGAGACACGGUCCAGACUCCUACGGGAGGCAGCAGUAGGGAAUCUUCCGCAAUGGGCGAAAGCCUGACGGAGCAACGACGCGUGAGUGAUGAAGGUCUUCGGAUCGUAAAACUCUGUUAUUAGGGAAGAACAUAUGUGUAAGUAACUGUGCACAUCUUGACGGUACCUAAUCAGAAAGCCACGGCUAACUACGUG